rnacentral:lncRNA from 1 species
AUAUGAUCGGAUCUCUCUCUCUCUCUCUCUCUUUUUCUCUCUCACUGGCUGCUCCAUGCAGAAUGGAUUAGAGUGUGGCUGGGCAAAUGGAGAGGUGGUGGGAACAGUGAAAAAGCCUUUGCAGUAGCACAGUCAGGCGAUGACAGUGGCUGGGCCAAGGAGGUGAAGCUGAAAAUGAAAGCAAAUCUGAGUGGGAGGCAGAAGUGAUCCUGUUAACAACAACUGCCCACUCCAGAUGAGAAGAAGUUUUGUGGUGAAGUGAUAAAUCCUGUGCUGUGCAUGUUUGUUUUUCUAUGCUGAGUACCAGGGGAAUGCAGGACAAGGAGAAGGACAUACUUUCUUCCUUCAGAGAGCUACCAGAGGAGAAAUGACAGUGUCUAUUAGGAACUGGCCUUAGAAUCUCCCAGGUUGAUGAGACUUGCUUAAGUAACAACCUUAGUGGGAAAAUGCCAGUGGAAUUUCAUGAGUAUGACUGGCAGUGCCUGCGAGGAGGAGAGCUGCGAGGAGGAGAAGGAUGAGAUACUUUUGGUUAGAUGCAGAAAUAGCAGCUCAGAGAGGCAAGUGACCUGCCCAAGGCCCCAGGAACCAGGUCUAGAGGGACCCUGGUGUGUCUUUGCCUGAGAGAUGGAGCUGUCUGUUCCCGGCAUGGCCUGGAGGGGAAGAAGACCGUGGAAGGGAGAGGGCAGGGAGCUGCCUCACCUGCUAACUCUUCUCGAUUGAACCAGCUCUUCGCUUGGGAAUUUGACUGCAAUAUGACUUCUCAGGACACCAGACAUCCUAGCCUUAAAGAGGGCACAGGUACAUUUUCCUAGGCCAAAUUAAUAUGGAUUUUGAAUUAUCUCCUGUUGUUCAGAAAGAUCCUCCCUGCAUUGGUGGUUUUGACAUUUCCCAGGCUCCAAGAGCCAUGGAUCUCCUCUGAGAGCUGCACUGGAGAAGGUUCUGAAAGUCUUCUUUACAUCUCUAACCAGACAGGUCCUUAGGAAACUCCUCCAGCAAGCACUGACCCCUUCACAGCCAGUCCUGUGUCGGACUCUGAGGUAAAGACACCACCCAGUUGCUGCCCUCAGAAUCAACCUAGCCCUUGCUUCUCUCACAAGAGUGAAACUUGGAGGCAUUAAUAUAUAUUUUUGUUCUGCAAAACUUUAAAGAAUAAAACAUUAGAAAUAAAACUAUAACAAUCAUCCAUGUGCCUGCCACCCAGAUUUAUUGUUUUUUAAAGAAGUAAAACAUAAAUAUAGUUAAAAUUCCUUGUGUAUCCCUCCCAGUCCCAAUCCUCCCUCAGAGGCAAGCACUGUGGUGAAGCUUGUUACUGUUCUACAUGUAUUUCACAGUUUUAUUAUAUAUUCAUAUGCACAUAGCACAUAAACUUAAAAGACAUAAACUCAUACUGUAUAUAAAUUAAAUUUUACACUUAAUAUAAAUAUAAUUUAUAUAUUACACAUUACAAAAAGUUGUUUAUGUACUGCAUAAGCUUUACAUUUAAAUAUUAUACUUAGUCAAAAAUAAACUAUAUAUUUACAUAAAUAUAAACUAACAUUUAUAUACCGUAUGUCUAACAUUAACGUUUAUACUGUGUAUAGUGUGUAUAAAUUAAAAUGUACAAAAUUAGCUUCAAACCCUUCACAUAAUGAUGGUCUAACUUGCCUUUUGUCCAACACAAUAUAUUUUUAUUUCUAUUCAUUUUGAUGCAUCUUGAUUCCCUUCAUUCAUUCCAACUGCAGUGGAGUUUUCCAUUAUUGGAAUAUGUCACAAAUAAUUUAUGACUGUCCUAUGAUUUGCAAAGUACACUUGUUUGAAAUUUCCUAUGACUACAAACAAUGCUGCCACACAUUCUGUGGCUGUUUUCUUGUGUACACAUGCGAGUGAUUUUAGGACAGAUACAUAGAAGUGGAUGCUUCCCCUUUACCAGGUAUUGUCAGUUGUUUUUAAAAGAUGUCUGCGUGUGCACUGUCACACCAGCAGCAUAAGAGGCUCCUAUUUCUCUGCAUUCUUGCUGCCACCAGGCCAUGUUGAUCUUGAACUUUGUUGUUAAUUGGAUGGAAGUGAAAUGGUAUCUCAUUGGUGUUUCACUUGUUUCCCGACUAUUCAUGAAGUUGACAAUCUUUUCAUGGAUAUUGACCCUCCGGGUUUCUGCUUCUGUGAAAUGCCUUUUCAUAGUUUUUGCCUAUUUUUCUCUCUUGGGUUAUUUAUCUUUCCCUUAUUAAUCUGUAGGAGUUCUUAAAAUAUUCAGGUUUUUAAUCCUUUGUUGGUUGUGAGCAUUCACCAUGCUUCUCCUGGUCUGUGACUUGUCUUUGAAUUUUGUUUAUAAUGU